UUGUAUUCCAGGUGGGAUACUUUAUCUAGCGUUAGCUGAAUGCUAAUGUAGGACGUUAGCAAACCUCUGCUAGCAAGAAAUCCUUCAAGGGUGAGGUCCAAACUGGUUGGCGUCUUUUUACUGAGAUGUCUUGUUACAGGCCCUGAUCCUCCAAAUGGCCAGAAAGGAGGCAUCCAUGGCUCUGGAGUUCUUCUUUGAUGCUGCAAAGAAGCCUGACUUUGCAGCCUCUAAUUGAGAUGAUCUUGCCAGUGUUGGAUGAAGACUCAGUUCUGUCAACCCCCUCAUGAGGACAAAACCACCAUUGGACAAUUUUUUUUUGAACUUGUUAAUUUUCCCACUCAUGUUGAGUAUCUUCCAUUUCGGAGGGAUGAUGUUCCCCUAUUUGGAUCAUGCUGGAGUACAGUGAACUUCAUAGUGCCUUAUGUUAAUAAAACAUUGAGAAAGUUUGAGUUGUAAUGGCUUUAUUGAAGAAAUAGCCCAGAACACCCAUUAAAAAAGAUUUU